CGAAGACCGAAAGGAAACGGGUCAACACGUUCCCGUACCGGCGCGCAGGGCGACGGGGCGACGGGGAAUGAGGCGCCCGCGGGCAGACGGAAUUGCCCGUUGAAGACCGUAUCUAUACGCCCCGCAGGCAAUCCGCGGGAGUGGAAAAGUCGACAGUACUCCAAGGCUUCGGCGGAGGAGACAGCGGCGCGGAAAGCCUCCAAGAAAAACCUCUAAGCUUUAACCUGCGCGGCGCCCGUACCGCAAACCGACACAGGCAGUCGAGGAGAAAUCCACAGGCGCGCGAGUGAUCCACGGCCAAGGAACUCGGCAAAAUGGUCCCCUAACUUCGGGAGAAGGGACGCUGGCGCAAGCCAGCCGCAGCGAAACGGCUCAAGCGACUGUUUAACAAAAACACAGGGCUCCGCCAAGCCGAAAGGCGACGUAUGGGGCCUGACACCUGCCCGGUGCCGGAAGGUUAAGGGGGGGCGUGCAAGCGCCGAACCGAA
rnacentral:rRNA from 1 species